CACUGUGAAGCUUUAAGCGCUAGCCUUUUAAGCUAGAGUUAGGGGCCCUACGUCUCCAUAGUGA
rnacentral:tRNA from 1 species